rnacentral:rRNA from 14 species
UUAAAUUGAAGAGUUUGAUCAUGGCUCAGAUUGAACGCUGGCGGCAGGCCUAACACAUGCAAGUCGAACGGUAACAGAAA